CUUCUCUGUCCUGUGACCUCUGCUACUAGAGGCCCAACCUCUGUGGCCUUGUGACCUGCUGGUACUGGAGAUCCACAGCUAAGAUGCCAGGACCCCCUGGAAGCCUAGAAAUGGGAGUGUUGACAUUUAUGGAUGUGGCCAUAGAAUUCUCUCUGGAGGAGUGGCAAUGCCUGAACACUGCACAGCGGAAUUUAUAUAGGAAUGUGAUGUUAGAGAACUACAGAAACCUGGUCUUCCUGGGUAUUGCUGCCUCUAAGCCAGACCUGAUCACCUGUCUGGAGCAAGGAAAAGAACCUUGGAAUGUGAAGAGACAUGAGAUGGUAGCCAAACCCCCAGCUGUGUGUUCUUAUUUUGCCCGAGACCUUUGGCCAAAGCAGGGCAUAAAAAAUUGUUUCCAAAAUGUGAUACUGAGAAGAUAUAAAAAAUGUGGACAUAAAAAUUUGCAUUUAAGAAAAUGUUGUCAAAGCGUGUUUGAAUGUAAGGUGCGCAAAGAAUGUGACAAUGGACUUAACCAGUUUUUCACAACUACCCGGAGCAAAAUAUUUCCAUGCAACACAUUUGUGAAAGUCUUUCAUAAAUUUUCAAAUUCAAACAGACAUAAGAUAAGACAAACUGGAAAGAAUCCUUUCAAAUGUAAAGAAUGUGAUAAGUCCCUUUGUACACUUUCACAGUUAGCUCAACAUAAAAUAAUUCAUACUCAAGAAAGACCCUACAAAUAUAAACGAUAUAAAUCCUACAAAUGUAAAGAAUGUGGAGAACCUUUUAACCAGGUCUCACAACUUACUAGACAUAAGAUAAUUCAUACUGGAGAGAAAUCCUACAAAUGUGAAGAAUGUGGCAAGGGGUUUAUCUGGUUCUCACACCUUACUGCACAUAAGAGAAUUCAUACUGGAGAGAAGCCCUACAAAUGUGAAGACUGUGGCAAAGCUUUUAAUCAGAAGGAAAGCCUUACUACACAUAAGAGAAUUCAUACUGGUGAGAAACCCUACAGAUGUGAGGAAUGUGGCAAAGCCUUUAACCAAUCUGCACACUUUACUACACAUAAGAGAAUUCAUACUGGAGAGAAGCCCUACAAAUGUGAAGACUGUGGCAAAGCUUUUAACCAAAAGGAAAGCCUUACUACACAUAAGAGAAUUCAUACUGGAGAGAAACCCUACAAAUGUGAGGAAUGUGGCAAAACCUUUAACCAAUCUGUAAACCUUACUACACAUAAGAGAAUUCAUACGGGAGAGAAACCCUACAAAUGUGAAGACUGUGGCAAAGCUUUUAACCAAAAGGAAAACCUUACUACACAUAAGAGAAUUCAUACUGGAGAGAAACCCUACAAAUGUGAGGAAUGUGGCAAAGCUUUUAACCAGUCUGCACACCUUACUACUCAUAAAAGAAUUCAUACUGGAGAGAAGCCCUACAAAUGUAAAGAAUGUGGCAAAGCUUUUAACCAAAAGGAAAGCCUUACUACACAUAAGAGAAUUCAUACUGGAGAGAAACCCUACAAAUGUGAGGAAUGUGGCAAAGCCUUUAACCAAUCUGUACACCUUACUACUCAUAAAAGAAUUCAUACUGGAAAGAAAUCCUACAAAUGUGAAGACGGUGACAAAGCUUUUAGCCAAUCCUUAACCCUUACUACACAUAAGAUAAUUCAUACUGGAGAGAAAUUCUACAAAUGUGAAGAAUUUGGCAAAGGCUUUAGGUGGUUCUCACACCAUACUGCACAUAAGAUAAUUUAUGCUGGAGAGAAGCCUUACAAAUUUAAAGAAUGUGGCAAAGCCUAUAAUAAGGCCUCAAACCUUUCUACAUAUAAAAAAAUUCAUCCUGGAGAAAAACCUUACAAAUGUGCAGAAUGUGGCAAAGGCUUUAACAAACCCUCAAUUCUUACUAGACAUAAGAUAAUUCAUACUGGAGAGAAACCCUACAAAUGUGAAGAAUGUGGCAAAGCCUUUAAUCAAUCCUCAAACCUUACUACACAUAAGAUAAUUCAUACUGGAGAGAAACUCUACAAAUGUGAGAAAUGUGGCAAAGCUUUUAACCAUUCAUCAAACCUUACUAAACAUAAGAUCAUUCAUACUGGAGAGAAACCCUACAAAUGUGAAGAAUGUGGAAAAACCUUUUACCAAUUCGCCCACCUUACUACCCAUAAGAGGAAUCAUACUGGGAAGAAACCCUACAAAUGAGAGGAAUGUGGUAAAGCUUUUAACCAGUCCUCAACCCUUACUACACAUAAGAAAAUUCACACUGGAGAGAAACCCUAUAAAUGUGAAGACUGUGGCAAAGCUUUUAGCCAAUCCUCACACCUUAGUACACAUAAAACUAUUCAUACUGGAGAGAAAUUCUACAAAUGUGAAGAAUGUGGCAAGGCCUUUAGCAGGCUCUCACACCUUACUAGUCAUAAGAUAAUUCAUAUGAAAGUAACCCUACAAAUGUUAGGAAUGUGGCAAAGCUUUUAAUCAAUCUCUAAACCUUACUACACAUAAGAGAAUUUGUACUGGAAAGAAAUCCUACAAAUGUGAAGGAAUUGUGACAAUGCUUGGGACAACACCUCAAACAUUUCCAAACAUAAAAGAAAUUAUGCUGGUGAGAAAUAUUAAUAAUGUGACAAACCCUUUAAAUGGUUGUCACACUUGAUUGU